rnacentral:misc_RNA from 1 species
AACGCACCUUGCGCUCCUUGGUACUCCGAGGAGCAUGCCUGUUUGAGUGUCAUGGAAUUCUCAACUCUUCUGUCUUUGUUGAUGGUUGAGCUUGGAUGUGGAGGUUAUUAAUGCUGGCUCAGUAAAAUGGGUUGGCUCCUCUUGAAUGCAUUAGCUUGAACCUCUGUGGAUCAGCUGUCCGGUGUGAUAGAUUGUCUACGCCGUCGCUGUGAAGCUUUAAAAUGUGGGGGUUUAGCUUUUAAAAAUGUCUUGUUGACAUGAGACUAUCUUUUGACCUCUGACCUCAAAUCAGGCAGGAUUACCCGCUGAACUUAA